rnacentral:rRNA from 1 species
UACGAAGGGGGCUAGCGUUGUUCGGAAUUACUGGGCGUAAAGCGCACGUAGGCGGAUCGAUCAGUCAGGGGUGAAAUCCCAGGGCUCAACCCUGGAACUGCCUUUGAUACUGUCGAUCUGGAGUAUGGAAGAGGUGAGUGGAAUUCCGAGUGUAGAGGUGAAAUUCGUAGAUAUUCGGAGGAACACCAGUGGCGAAGGCGGCUCACUGGUCCAUUACUGACGCUGAGGCGCGAAAGCUAGGGGAGCAAACGGG